rnacentral:rRNA from 1 species
CGCAUCUGUGCAUGCAGCAUAUCAAUAAGCGGAGGAAAAGAAACUAACAAGGAUUCCCCUAGUAACGGCGAGUGAAGCGGGAAGAGCUCAAAUUUGAAAUCUUAAAGGGUUUCCCUUUACGAAUUGUAGUUUAAAGAAGUGUUUUUCUGUUGAGGUUUUGGUAAAAGUUCUUUCGGAAUAGGACAUCAUAGAGGGUGAGAAUCCCGUAUUUGACCUUUACUUUCAACUUUGUGAUACACUUUCAAAGAGUCGGAUUGUUUGGGAAUGCAGUCCAAAAUGGGUGGUAAAUUUCAUCUAAAGCUAAAUAUUGGCGAGAGACCGAUAGCGAACAAGUACCGUGAGGGAAAGAUGAAAAGAACUUUGAAAAGAGAGUUAAACAGUACGUGAAAUUGUCAAAAGGGAAGCGUUUGACACCAGUGUUGUUUUUCUGAAAAUCAAUUAAAGAACUGUUUAUGCUAAGCUGUUUAGACUUUAUCAGCUAUCUGUUCAGUUUUUAGGCUUUUCUUUAAUGCACUUUUCAGUUAACAAGUCAACAUCAAUUUCUUUUGCUGUAAAAAAGCUUGAGGAAGGUGGCUUGAGAUUCGUCUUAAGUGUUUAUAGCCUCUUGCCUAUGCAGUCGGAGAGAUUGAGGUCUGCAGCGUAGAUCCUUCGGGGCUAAAUGCAUUUGUGCUAAGUUAUAGCAUUUUAUAGACAACUUGUUGACUAUGAUUUGUCUUGUAGCUUACUCGCCUUAUGUUAUUUUACCUACGCUUAGGAUGUUGAACGCGCACAGAGUCUC